AUCGCGCGAGAGUUGCGCGGUAGCGAGUAGCAGUUCUCGCGAGACCCAUCACCAUGGUAGCAGCUGCUGCAGAAGCAACGGAGCCCUGGCGCUCAAGUCUGGGUGGGGGUGGGUGAAGUGUGAAGAUUGAGCACAGAGGGCUGCGGGCCACAUAAGUGCGACCCUGGAGCAGAGGAAUGGGGAUAGGAUAGCGGAGACUGAGGUGAGACUCACAAGCCCCAGAUUCAUGCUUAGAAUUGAAGUCUCUUGCUGGAAACUGGGUUUGGGCCAUGGGGCCCGGGAACUCGUUAGAUGCAUCACCCUACGGAAACUAAGCUGCAGCAAGGCCUGAAUCAAGAGCGCCUUUCCCAUAAGGAGGAAAAAGAAUAGUGAUUAAUCGAAAAGAUUGAAGGAAACAACUGAACUUGAAAGACAACUGGUUGAAGCUUCAUGUUUGGAGGUGUGGUCUAAGGAAGUAUAUCUAGAUAAAUAUGGAUUUCAGAAUCCCUAGGAAAAGCAAAGGGCUUUACUCCUGUGUGUCUCACUUCCUACCUAUCAAUCCCUGUUUCCACCACACUCAUUUUUGCCUCUGGUGAACGUGUACAAAUCUGCCUUGGAAUAGUCACAGCUGUGAUAAAAGCUGCACUCGAAGGACAUUAGAGAAAGUAGCUCUUCCCUAAAGCUUGGGCCAAAAUUGCUAGUCUCCUGAAUUUUCUGCCUUGUUGCUUGUUUCCUUCCAAGGAGAACUAGGUUGGUAGACACCCACAUUAUGUGUACUACUUCAAACCCUAGUCUGUGUCCUUAGCAGACUCUUCCUCUUGUUCCAGGCAGUUUUCUUAUAUUUAUUUAAAGAAUAAUGUGACUUAGGGCUGGAGGUUUAGCUCAGCGGCAUAAGCACCUGCCUUGCAAGCAGGCGGUCGUGAGUUCGAUCCCCGGUACCGAUAAAAAAAGGAUAAUGUGACUUAGAGUAUAAAGUCAGUAGGACUCUAAUUAUUGAAGACAGUGAGGAAUGAGAUGGAUUUAAAGAAAAAACAAAACAAGGAACUUGUUCAUGACAAAAGGAAUUACCUCACUGGGUAGCAUCAAACUUGCUCUGAUCCUCCUGCCUCACACUCCCAAGUUCUGGGAUUACAGGUGUGGGCCUCCAUGCCUGGCUAUGCUUUGUGUUUUUAAAGGCUGAAGACUUCCAGUGUUACAUUCUAGAGUGGGUCCUGUGAUACCUUCGUGAGAUUACCAUCUCCGUUCCUUCCCCUAGAAAUUCCUAGCAACACUGCACCAGGUUAUACCUCCCCAGGACCACCAGAAUUUGCUAUAGAACUCCUCCUUCCCUAAUGCCUCUAACCACACCUGGAGACCAAUAAGGAAAUAGAAACUGUUAAUGAAUGUUCCUGCCCAAGACUUCACAUCCUCUCACGGUGGUAUUCCAAGUGUAACAGAAGGAUGGGAACAGUAACAGCCUAGUAUGGUUCGUACUCAACACUGGUGAAUUCAACUGGAAGAUCUCUCCUUCUUCUGUCCUUCACCCCUCAGGAAUCUGGGGAAGAAAAUGUCUACGUAGCUUCAGAGAGGGCUGCCCAUGAAGCAGACAGGAGCAGAGAAAGGAAAAAUGCUGCCCAGUUGGCAAUUAACUGCCUAUUGCCACACCCCAACUUCCUAGCCAUUUGGUAAAGGGUAGAAGAACUCAUCCAGAGCUGAAGGAGGCCCAGAUCCCUGAUUUAGAGUCUUUUUCCAUCUCUCUGGCUGCCACUAGAGCCUAGUAAAAACUGAAAGUGUAGCCACCAGCUCCCAUUCUGUCCCUGACCCUAGGCCUGGGCCUGAGCCCAGGCGUGUGCCAGGAGGAGGGGUGUUGGCCUUACUGACAAAAUCCAUUUGGAAUUUUUCAAGGUUGUGGUUUGGGGCUAAGUCUGGCACAGACAGUAUCUGAUGAAAGAAGGAAAGCUAGGAAAAAAAGAAGCCAAAAGGACUACAGAGGACAGAAACAGGAAACAGCUAAACUCUUCUUGCUACAACUCCAUUGGAGAGUCUCUGUCCCCUUCUUGAAAAAUUGAAAAAUUUGUAGUCAGGGUGUUCUUUCUCACUCUCUUUGAUAUCCUUUUCCAAUUCUAGCUGCAUCCCUUCUCUUUUGCCCCUCUCCCAUAUGCAUAUGAGGUUCAAUAAGGGUGUGAAUUAAGAAUGGGAUAUAGUGGCCAGGGACUUAGCCUCAGCAACAUAAGCACCUGCCUGGCAAGCAUGAGGUCAUGAGUUCGAUCCCCAGUACUAAAAAAAAGAAUGGGGUAUCGCCUGACACCAGCACAUUUUCAAACCUGUAAUUCUCAGUGCUCAAGUAGAGAGUCACAACAUAAAAUGCUGUCAUAAAAUACUGCCCUAACCCAACACAAAUAUCCAUGUUGCUGCUUUCAUUUCACCUAAUUAGAGAAUAAUUUGGGUAACAGAUAAAUCUAUUGUCCAGAGAAGUAGAAUUAUUUCUAUAUCCAUGGCCAAGGUCAUGACCUGUUAAAUUGGCAUAUUGAAGUUUCCCAGGCAUGCAAUCAUUUAUAGUUUUAAAUAUCUAUAUAUACAUAUAUGUUACGGUUUUUGUCUAGGUGGCCCCCCAAUUCUCAUGCAGUUAUGGAGGUAGCUGAAUCUAGUGUUUGUGAUUGGCUCAUUGUCUACCACUGGGAUUGGUGAUGUGAGUGUUGCACCCACCAGGGGCAGAGCUCACAUACAAUAUAAGGGAGGGAAUAAGGCAUGUCUUUUCCUCUUUUUGCCCUUUUGCUCCUGCUGUUUGUGGCUGCCAUGAAUAGCUUCCCCUCAGCCACACCACCCUUGGAGCCAAUUGAAUAUGGACUGAAACCUCCAAAACACUGUAAGCUAAAUAAAUCUUUUCCUUCCUUCA